GGAAAUGCCUGAGGAGGUGCCACUCCUGCGGGGCUGUUUUGAAGGGGCUGGAAGUCUUUUCUGUCACCACCUUUACCUACCUGUCAUCUGUGAACGUGACUGGAGAUGCCAAGGCUUUCCUCGACUUCUGCCACUGCCCAUGGUUCAUGGCCCUCUCACCCUGCUCCUCUUAAAGGCCAUGUGAGCACAGUGAGAAGGUGGCCAUCUGUAAGCCAGGAAGAGAGCUCUCAUCAGAACCUGACCAUGCUGACACUCUGAUCUUGACCUUUCAGCCUCCAGAACUGUGAGAAAUAAAUGUUUGUGGUUUAA
rnacentral:lncRNA from 10 species